GAUGAACGCUGGCGGCGUGCCUAGUACAUGCAAGUCGAGCGAACAGGCGAGGAGCUUGCUCCUCUGACGUUAGCGGCGGACGGGUGAGUAACACGUGGAUAACCUACCUAUAAGACUGGGAUAACUUCGGGAAACCGGAGCUAAUACCGGAUAAUAUAUUGAACCGCAUGGUUCAAUAGUGAAAGACGGUUUUGCUGUCACUUAUAGAUGGAUCCGCGCCGCAUUAGCUAGUUGGUAAGGUAACGGCUUACCAAGGCAACGAUGCGUAGCCGACCUGAGAGGGUGAUCGGCCACACUGGAACUGAGACACGGUCCAGACUCCUACGGGAGGCAGCAGUAGGGAAUCUUCCGCAAUGGGCGAAAGCCUGACGGAGCAACGCCGCGUGAGUGAUGAAGGUCUUCGGAUCGUAAAACUCUGUUAUUAGGGAAGAACAAAUGUGUAAGUAACUAUGCACGUCUUGACGGUACCUAAUCAGAAAGCCACGGCUAACUACGUG
rnacentral:rRNA from 1 species